GAGUAUAAAAGUAAAUGCAUAAAGAUAAAUUGCAUAAAAGUAAAUGACUUAAAGUAAAGGCAUAAACGUAAAUGAUAAGAAACUAAAGUCAAUAAGUCAAUAAAUAACUGUUAGUAGUCAAUUGAUCACAUCGGGGUAAUUUAGCGUUAUGUUAAGCAAUCGUAAGUAUGCUUGUAUAGAAGCCAUACCUAUCUGAGAUCGGUCAAUAACAAUCUAUGUGUCAGACAUGU
rnacentral:lncRNA from 1 species